rnacentral:rRNA from 1 species
CUACGGGUGGCUCCAGUGGGGAAUAUUGCACAAUGGGGGAAACCCUGAUGCAGCAACGCCGCGUGGAGGAUGACACUUUUCGGAGCGUAAACUCCUUUUAUAUACCAAGAUAAUGACGGUAGUAUAUGAAUAAGCACCGGCUAACUCCGUGCCAGCAGCCGCGGUAAUACGGGGGGUGCAAGCGUUACUCGGAAUCACUGGGCGUAAAGGAUGCGUAGGCGGCCUAGCAAGUCAGGUGUGAAAUCCUAUGGCUUAACCAUAGAACUGCACUUGAAACUGCUAGACUAGAGUUCAGAAGGGGCAGGUGGAAUUAGUGGUGUAGGGGUAAAAUCCGUAGAGAUCACUAGGAAUACCUAAAGCGAAGGCGAUCUCCUGGAACAUUACUGACGCUAAGGCGUGAAAGCGUGGGGAGCAAACAGGAUUAGAUACCCGCGUAGUC